CCGCCGCGGCCGCCUUCUCCUCAGCCGCCGCCUCCUCAGCCGCCGGUUCCGCCGCGGCCGGACUCACCUCCCCUAGCAAAGCCGGAUAGAGCGGAGCCAGCGUCGGACACGCGCAACCAGCCGCCGAGGCCCCGCCCCCGCCUUGCACGGACCGGCUGCCCUAGCCAAUCCACGCCCACCUGUCCGCUACCGCCUCCAAUCCUGGGCCAGGAGCUUCAGACAGGCGCACUGUUCGGCCAGUGGCAACAAGGAGCAGGAAGCUGCGUGCUAAUCCCGCCUGCAAAAGCUGGAAGAGAGGGGCGGAACGAAAGAACCAAUCAUGAGCCAGAGACAAAGAACAGAGUAACCAAUCCUUGGGUUGAAAAUGAAGUGGGAUGGAACCUGGGCCAAAUAGACACUUGAAAAAACAAAUGGAAAAAAAAGAUUGAUGGUCACAUUCUGUCACCCAGGCUAGACUGCAGUGGCACAGUCCUAGCUCAUUGCAACCUCCAACUCCCGGCUCAAGCAAUCUUCCCGCCUCAGCUUCCCGAGUAGCUGGGAUUACAGAUGUGCAUCACCAUGCCCGGCUGAUUCUUUAAUUUUUUAGAAACAGGGUCUCAAUAUGUUGCCCAGGUUGGUCUCAAAUUCCUAGGCUCAAGAGAUCCUCCCACCUCCGACCUUGGCCUCCCAAAGUGCUGAGAUUACAGGCGUGAGCCACCGCCUCCAGCCUCUCCCAUAUUUUCUAUCAAGAGCUGAGCAUGAAGAACGAGAAGUCGGAAGUGAGUCAGCAGGAUAGCACUUAGAGCCUAAAAAAGCAAGCAGGACAUCAGAAUGCAUAAGCAGGAAUAUAAUGUGCAGGAAGUGGGAGGUGAUCUUCCCUUUCUUCCAAGAACUGGCUCACCCCAUGAGUUGUCUGCAAAGACUUUGCAGAACUUGGGCCAGGCCCAGGAAGAUUAAAAGACUACAAAAGGAGCAACUCACAUUCAACAGUGCUGGGUGCUCAACACCUGUUAUCUCAUGUGAUCAAUCAUCAAUAUGUCCCAUUUUGCAAAUGAAGAAACAGACUCGGGAAGUCAAGUCCCUCCAUCAGUUUCGUGACAGGGGAUAAAGUCAUCAAUGCCAAAGCAAAGGUGGAGGCUCGACAAGAGAGAGUGGGAGCAAGGCUACAAACCUCAUAGGCAUUUGGUAUUGCUGAAGGACAACGUGCACGUUCAGGAUCAGCUACCGGAAGGUUUCUCCUUGGGAUGACGCUGAAGCAGUGAAGUUCCCCAGAGCUGUUAUGGAGACCUGGAUACGCAGCACUGUGCAGAGGGCAACAUCUUGGAUAUGCCUCUUUAAAGGAUGAAUAGACUUGGAGAUGAAGAAACCAGCUCAGAGUAUAAGAUAUGGUAUACCUAAGUCAAAUAGUUAACAAACAGGAGCGUUGCUGACUCUGGCACCCAGGACUGCUUGUCUUCAAAGCCAG